rnacentral:rRNA from 1 species
CGAACGCCUCUUAGAAGCCUUAUAAAUUUUUCGCGUGCUGUUAGGGUAUUUUUGGCGAUGAAGAUAUUACAGCGCACAAGUCUUUUGGAGGGCGCAUUAUAGAAGUACAGGCUUGCCGGCGGUUGAGUUCAAUUAUGGUUUCGAUGUCGGAAGGCGAUUUCCGAUGGCCGUAAACAGUGUACGCCCUAUCACCCAGCAGGUUAAUCAUUCGCUAACCAGGGGUAUUACGGGUAACGGAGAACUAGGGUUCGUCUCCGGAGAAGAAGCCUUUGAAAGGCUACUACAUCCAAGGAAGGCAGCAGGCGCGUAACUUAUCCACUACCACAGUGAGAUAGUAACUAGUCUUAACUAUUGACUGAUCUUUUAGGUUAGUCAUGGUCCAUGAGUUGAGCCUAAAUAGCUCUUCGAGGACCAAGUGGAGGGCAAGUCUGGUGCCAGCAGCCGCGGUAAUUCCAGCU